rnacentral:rRNA from 1 species
CUACGGGGGGCACCAGUGGGGAAUAUUGCGCAAUGGGGGAAACCCUGACGCAGCAACGCCGCGUGAGUGAUGAAGGCUUUCGGGUCGUAAAGCUCUGUCAGGUGGGAAGAGUAAGGACGGUACCACCAAAGGAAGCACCGGCUAACUCCGUGCCAGCAGCCGCGGUAAUACGGGGGGUGCAAGCGUUGUUCGGAAUUAUUGGGCGUAAAGAGCGUGUAGGCGGCCUGUUAAGUCAGGUGUGAAAGCCCUUGGCUCAACCAAGGAAGGUCAUCUGAAACUAGCAGGCUUGAGUACGGGAGAGGAGAGCGGAAUUCCCAGUGUAGAGGUGAAAUUCGUAGAUAUUGGGAGGAACACCGGUGGCGAAGGCGGCUCUCUGGACCGAUACUGACGCUGAGACGCGAAAGCGUGGGGAGCAAACAGGAUUAGAUACCCUUGUAGUC